rnacentral:lncRNA from 1 species
CAUUUCAGAAAAAGCACAACAAUUUGCUGGGCACUCACAGAGGCAGGUGCCGCUCAGAGGGGCAGACAGACUCCACUGGGUGGGUCCGAAGUGGUGGAACUCUGUCCUGAAGACCUCACAAGCUGCAGAAGGGCACACGGAAGGAGUAACAAUGGCAUGUGUGCGAUUUGGGCUGGUGGGAGAGGGGAGACACCCUAGCUUCUCCCUCAACAGCUGGGGCCCAGCACCCUCCUCAGGGACCCCCAACCUGAACGGAGAAGCUCAGGGCUGGUACCUGCAGGGACCCCUGAAGACCACAUGGAUAGGUAGAGAGGCAAGCAGGAGGGCACUGCUCAGAAACAGGCCUCCUUAGGAACAGAAGGACAGGCCUCCUUAGGAAGCUCGGGGACACCCAGUCCCCAGCCACCUGCAAAGGACCUCCCAAAUUGCCUGCAAAGGUCCUGCCAGUCACAAUAGCCCCUGCUGGGCACAGAGCUGCUCCAAGGGACAUGCACGCUGGGGAGUGGAUUCAUCCCAAGACCUACUCUGAACAGGAUGUCCCAGCCCUCCUCACCAGUAGGAGUCACAGGGGGCACUGGGGACCUGCAGCCAGAGACCCCACACAUCCAGUUAAAUCUUCCAAAUCCUCUACAGCCCCACAUCCAACCCCACUGAGCCCCUGCUUGGAGAUUGUGCCAUAGUCCUUGGCACUGUUAUUUACUUCAUAUUCUCAGUUCAAUCACCACUCCCCUCUCUCUUUAACUUAAAUAUACCC